rnacentral:rRNA from 1 species
CAGUAGCCGCGGUAAUACGGAGGGUGCGAGCGUUAAUCGGAAUUACUGGGCGUAAAGCGUACGCAGGCGGUUUGUUAAGUCAGAUGUGAAAUCCCCGAGCUUAACUCGGGAACUGCAUUUGAAACUGGCAGGCUAGAGUCUCGUAGAGGGGGGUAGAAUUCCAGGUGUAGCGGUGAAAUGCGUAGAGAUCUGGAGGAAUACCGGUGGCGAAGGCGGCCCCCUGGACGAAGACUGACGCUCAGGUACGAAAGCGUGGGGAGCAAACAGUAUUAGAUACCCCUGUAGUCCCUGUCUCUUAUAC